rnacentral:rRNA from 1 species
GACGAACGCUGGCGGCGCGCCUAACACAUGCAAGUCGAACGAGCGAGAGAGAGCUUGCUUUCUCGAGCGAGUGGCGAACGGGUGAGUAACGCGUGAGGAACCUGCCUCGAAGAGGGGGACAACAGUUGGAGACGACUGCUAAUACCGCAUAAGCCCACAGCUCGGCAUCGAGCAGAGGGAAAAGGAGUGAUCCGCUUUGAGAUGGCCUCGCGUCCGAUUAGCUGGUUGGUGAGGUAACGGCCCACCAAGGCAACAAUCGGUAGCUGGACUGAGAGGUUGAACGGCCACAUUGGGACUGAGACACGGCCCAG